GACGAACCGUGCGAACGUUGUUCGGAAUCACUGGGCUUAAAGGGCGCGUAGGCGGGCAGGCAAGUCGGAGGUGAAAGCCCCCAGCUUAACUGGGGAAGUGCCCUCGAUACUGCCAGUCUGGAGGGAGGUAGGGGCGUGCGGAACUUCCGGUGGAGCGGUGAAAUGCGUAGAUAUCGGAAGGAACACCGGUGGCGAAGGCGGCACGCUGGGCCUUUCCUGACGCUGAGGCGCGAAAGCCAGGGGAGCGAACGGG
rnacentral:rRNA from 1 species